AUUGAACGCUAGCGGGAUGCCUUACACAUGCAAGUCGAACGGCGUGGCGAACGGGUGAGUAAUGUAUCGGAACGUGCCCAGUAGCGGGGGAUAACUACGCGAAAGCGUAGCUAAUACCGCAUACUAUUGGAGUGGCCUAUAUCGGUUUAGCUAGUUGGUGGGGUAACGGCUCACCAAGGCGACGAUCCGUAGCCGGGUUGAGAGGACGACCAGCCACACUGGAACUGAGACACGGCCCAGAAUCCUAAGGGAGGCAGCAGUGGGGAAUUUUGGACAAUGGGGGAAACCCUGAUCCAGCCAUCCCGCGUGUGCGAUGAAGGCCUUCGGGUUGUAAAGAACUUUUGGCAGGAAAGCGGUACCUGCAGAAUAAGCACCGGCUAACUACGUGCCAGUCGCCGCGGUAAUAC
rnacentral:rRNA from 1 species